CCUACGGGAGGCUGCAGUGGGGAAUAUUGGACAAUGGGGGCAACCCUGAUCCAGCCAUGCCGCGUGUGUGAAGAAGGCCCUCGGGUUGUAAAGCACUUUCAGUGAGGAAGAACGCCUGGUGGUUAAUACCCAUCAGGAAAGACAUCACUCACAGAAGAAGCACCGGCUAACUCCGUGCCAGCAGCCGCGGUAAUACGGAGGGUGCGAGCGUUAAUCGGAAUUACUGGGCGUAAAGCGCGCGUAGGUGGCUUGAUAAGCCGGUUGUGAAAGCCCCGGGCUCAACCUGGGAACGGCAUCCGGAACUGUCAAGCUAGAGUGCAGGAGAGGAAGGUAGAAUUGCCGGUGUAGCGGUGAAAUGCGUAGAGAUCGGGAGGAAUACCAGUGGCGAAGGCGGCCUUCUGGACUGACACUGACACUGAGGUGCGAAAGCGUGGGUAGCAAACAGGAUUAGAUACCCGAGUAGUC
rnacentral:rRNA from 1 species